AUCCAGGUCUUGAGGCAUGAACCUGGCAUACAAUGUAGAUUUCUGUGUUUGUUAAGCAACAGCUACAUUGUCUGCUGGGUUUCAGGCUACCUGGAA
rnacentral:miRNA from 1 species